AUCUCUUCCUCUCCUCUCCAAGCAGACCCGCCACCCCCUCUCUCUUCUCUCUUACCUGCUCCGGCGAAGCUCGCUCCGGCCAGCAGCUGGCGAGUGCCAGAUGACACCAGCUCCAACAGCAGCAGCGCCAGCCGCUUCGGCCAGUACAAACAACAGCCAGUAGCCGCGAAAGCAACUGGGCAGCAACCAUCGCUGCUCCACGCCACCAGUCACCCACGUCUCCGACAAAAAAACGGCAACCACUUUGACAUAUUUUGGUUUUGUUUAAGACGGAUCUUAAUAGAUUCGUCCCAGGGUUUUGAACUUAAAAGGUUCAAGAGUCGCCUCAAAGAGAUUUUCGGACAAGAUUCUUAUGUUCAAGUUUAUCUUAAUGCUGGAAAUACUGUUUAUUUAUUCUUUGAACUUGUAAUAUUUUGUAUAACUCUAACUCUCUCUAUAUAUGAUAACUUGGGGAAUCGUCCAAGGGGGAGGGGGAUAUACGUGCUAAUUGUUCCUUUUCCUUUUAGCGUAGUUUAUUUUUUGGUAUGUGCGGCAUGUCGGAAUCACUUAGCAAUCGACCUAAUUUCAACCCUUCGCUCAUGCAACUUUGCCUUAUUGUUAAAAUCAACCAUUAUGUAUUAAUUGUCUUAUAAUUUGAAUAUUUGCUUUAUUUGGAUUAGACUUUAUUCACCUCAGCAUGUUAAUAAAAUGGGCCCAUAAGAAUUUACCAAAAUGUGCCUAACAAAUUUAGUAUGUCAAUAGUUAGCAAAUUAAUCUUGAUCAACUGCCAGCAUGUUUAGAAAAUUAAAUCUGCAAUCUGUCUAGAAAGUAAUCUUAAUUCAAUAGGUCAAUUAAUUAGAUUGUAAUGGCUGAUUGGUUGUUAAUAAAUUCAGAUUACUUAGAAAUGCAUGCCUAUAGGAUUUAAAUGUUUAUUAAUGUGUUAUUCAUGUAUAGAAACCAUGUCUAUAAGUUGUGUUCUUUAUUUAGAAAUCAUGUGCAUAGGCAUUCAGAUAUUUUAUUUGGUAUGUGAAUUAAUGAGUUUACCAAUUAGUUGUAAUGGUUGCUUUAUGUGAAUAAAUCCAAACCAUCUAGAAAUCAUGCCUAUAGGAUUAAAACAAUAAAAUCAUUGAUGUUAACUAAUUAGUUUAAAUAAUUUCUGCAUAUUUUAGUAAUUUAAGCCUGUCAGCUAAUAAAAAUAUUUUAGGUUGUUAAUAAAAUUUCAGCAUGUUAAUCACUUAGUUAGCUUUUCAUAGGCUUCUAAUAAAUUUUUAGUAUUUUUUUUUUGUCUUUUAUGAAUAAUCUCUACUUAAAAUAAGUAAUUUCUAUCUAAAAUAAAUUAAUGUCUUCUUCUGCAUGUUAACUGUGACAUUAAAUUUAUCUGUCAUUUAAAGUUGUCCAAAAUAAUCAAUUUGUUGCAUCGUAAUGAACUGGUUUGUCACUUAAAAAAUAAAUUAAUUUUACAGCAUGUUAAAAUCCUAAUUGCUUAAAAUUUAGUCUGCCCUAAUUGAUCUUUUUUUUCUCGUUUAGUUAUUUAUGCAUCUAAUGAAUUGACUGUUGCUUAAUAAUCUGAUCUUCACUGCUCUAAAAGACAUUUCCUGCCUCCAUGAUUGCUUUCUGCCACUUGUAUAAUUGCUUCCUGUAUCUAAUGUUCCAAAAAUAAUUAUUGCUAUAAUAUGUUGUAUGCCACACGCCUAGCAUGAGACUUUUUCACAAUUAUAUGUGUUUGCAAGCAUGCUAAUAAAAUCUAGAGGCUAAUAUGAGACUCUAUGUGCUAAAUGCUAGUCCAAAUUAUUUGGCUUGGUGUCUAGGUGGGCCUAUUAGGAGU